rnacentral:rRNA from 1 species
GACGAACGCUGGCGGCGUGCUUAACACAUGCAAGUCGAACGGAGUUUCUUGGAUCAAGACUUCGGUCAAGUGAAUUGAAACUUAGUGGCGGACUGGUGAGUAACGCGUGAGGAACCUGCCUUUCAGAGGGGGACAACAGUUGGAAACGACUGCUAAUACCGCAUGAGGCAUUCGGGUCGCAUGGCCUGAAUGCCAAAGAUUUUAUCGCUGAAAGAUGGCCUCGCGUCUGAUUAGCUAGUUGGUGAGGUAACGGCCCACCAAGGCGACGAUCAGUAGCCGGACUGAGAGGUGGACCGGCCACAUUGGGACUGGGAUACGGCCCAGACUCCUACGGGAGGCAGCAGUGGGGAAUAUUGGGCAAUGGACGCAAGUCUGACCCAGCAACGCCGCGUGAAGGAAGAAGGCUUUCGGGUUGUAAACUUCUUUUAAGAGGGAAGAGUAGAAGACGGUACCUCUUGAAUAAGCCACGGCUAACUACGUGCCAGCAGCCGCGGUAAAAC